GCUGUCUCAGUCCUGACGCUGCGAGGCGCAGCGCCCUGUCCCCGUGCUGGGCACCUGCCCCGAGCUCCCCCACGGUGAGCAGCACCGGGGGGCUGCCCCCACACCAGGGAAGUGGCCAAAUCCUGCUGUCCCCUCCUGGGCACAGCACCCAGAGCAGCCUCCAGAGCUGUGCCUGCACUCGGGCAAGAGCCCAUCAGUGUGCUCGGGCUCAUCCUGGGCCUUGGGCUGGCCCUGCUGAUCCUGGUCCUGUUUGGCUAUGCCUUUGUCCGGUGCUACCAGCAGGGCCGGUGCUGGCGCCGGCCUGACUUUGUCUUCAACCUCUACCACAGCUGCGGGCUGAGGUCGGUGGCAGUGGAGCUGACACCACCAUUCAGCAUCAGCGGCUUGCUGAGCGAGGCGGGGGGUGGCUACGUGCGCUUCCAAGAGCAGGGGCUGUGAGGCUGGCAAGCAGGCCAGCACUACCCCCAGGAAGCCCGAAAGGAAGAGGAUGAUCAAGAUGGUGCUGACGAUGUCCAAGACGAGCUCUGCGCUCCCUGCAAGAGAAGACAUGCCUAGGUUGGGGAUGUGGAACGCCGCAGUGGUCUCUAUCACUUCAAACUGCAACGAGAGAGCAGGUUGGUGCCCGAGAGCUCCUGCCUCUGUGGCAGGGCUGGGGCUGGGACUCUCCUCCCUCCUCCUCCAUCCCCUGGGCAAGGUCCCUGAGCAAAGCUGCUGAUAGCAGCUAGACCCCAAACCCCCAUGAGAGUUGGAGGACGCACUGCAGUAAAACAUUCAGAGGUAAAACUUAUCUAUAUAUGUUUACAUAGAUCUACGGUAAAACAUAUCUAUAAUUUCUGGCUCAAUAUUAGCUUUUAUGUAGGACUGUGCUUUAAAAAAUAAAUCAAACUUUAAAAAGUCUUUCAACUUGAGCUGCACUGCAUGGGAGGGAGGGUCUCCAUGCUUGCCUGCAGGCUGUGGACCCCACAGGACCAGCAACUCAUCUCACCGUGUGGUUGUUCUGCGGCCUCCUGACGUACACCUUGUAGCGCCUCGCGUGCUUCUGAAUGUCUUCGUAGCGAACGGUGCGGUUCCCCACCUUGAAGAGCAUCUGCAGCUGCAUAUGGAUGCUGUUGCCCAGCACGGAGAGGCUCUGGCCUGACAGACGCAGGCUGGCUGGAGAUGAGGGAUUUUAAAGAGCAAGUCAGGUUUGUCUCCUCUCUGUGGCUCUGAGAGCUUCUGCAGCAGGCGGCUGAGCUGCAAGCAUCCCUCGCGCCUGAUGCUGUUGUGCUGCCACCUAUCCUGAGCUUUGCCCUGUCCCGGCCCACCCCAUGGACCAGCUGCCCUCCAGGAAGGCACAAGGGCAUCACCCCCCCGCUCUGAUCUCUCCCAAAGCAGGUUGACACUGUGCCCUCCACCUACCUUCCCUCGGGGAGAAAGAGCUGCUCCUUUGCCAGAGGGACGUGCGGUUCCCGGACACGGCUCGCACCCGUGAGAAGUAGCGCCGCUCGGGGUCCAGGGUGUAGUACGUGAGGUCGCAGCUGAGCUCCCAGAUCCUCAUGCAGUUUGGGAUGGCCAUCCAGGAGAAAUUGGUGCCGUAGCUGCAGGGAGAAGUGCCUGGGGUGAGCAUGGUGCUGGCUACUGCUGCCGGUAUCAAUCCCAGGCAGACAACCCCUACGUCCCUGGCCACUGUACUCACACUUUGUGCUCCACUUCGUAGCUGACGUCGCUGGGGGCGUUGUGUCCCGGCUCCCACCGCAGCAGGUGAUACGCCACCUCCGUGUCAUAGCGUACGGCCGUGGGUUUUGACAGCAUCUCACCUGCGGGACCGAAGGCAUCAGGCAGCGCCUGGCUCGGCCCGGCCGAGAGCACCUCGGGGCUUUCCUCUCCCCAGAGAGGAGCCCCCUGACCUCUGCCUGCCAGCACGCUCUCUGUUUGGAUUCAGCCUUCCUGUUUUGCUCAUCUACUGCCUGGAAAAAAAAAAUAGACUUUUUCAC